AGUGAACGCUGGCGGUAGGCCUAACACAUGCAAGUCGAACGGCAGCACAGAGGAGCUUGCUCCUUGGGUGGCGAGUGGCGGACGGGUGAGGAAUACAUCGGAAUCUACCCUGUCGUGGGGGAUAACGUAGGGAAACUUACGCUAAUACCGCAUACGACCUACGGGUGAAAGCAGGGGACCUUCGGGCCUUGCGCGAUUGAAUGAGCCGAUGUCGGAUUAGCUAGUUGGCGGGGUAAAGGCCCACCAAGGCGACGAUCCGUAGCUGGUCUGAGAGGAUGGUCAGCCAAACUGGAACUGAGACACGGUCCAGACUCCUACGGGAGGCAGCAGUGGGGAAUAUUGGACAAUGGGCGCAAGCCUGAUCCAGCCAUACCGCGUGGGUGAAGAAGGCCUUCGGGUUGUAAAGCCCUUUUGUUGGGAAAGAAAUCCAGCUGGCUAAUACCCGGUUGGGAUGACGGUACCCAAAGAAUAAGCACCGGCUAACUUCGUGCCAGCAGCCGCCGUAA
rnacentral:rRNA from 1 species